rnacentral:rRNA from 1 species
CCUACGGGUGGCAGCAGUGGGGAAUAUUGCACAAUGGAGGCAACCCUGAUGCAGCGACGCCGCGUGAGCGAUGAAGUCUUUCUGUAUGUAAAGCUCUAUCAGCAGGGAAGAAAAUGACGGUACCUGACUAAGACUCCCCGGCUAACUACGUGCCAGCAGCCGCGGUACUACGGAGGGGGCAAGCGUUAUCCGGAUUUACUGGGGGUAAAGGGAGCGUAGACGGGGAGGAAAGCCAGAUGUGAAAGCCCGGGGCUCAACCCCGGGACUGCAUUUGGAACUGUAUAGCUGGAGUGUCGGAGAGGCAGGCGGAAUUCCUGGUGUAGCGGUGAAAUGCGUAGAUAUUAGGAGGAACACCAGUGGCGAAGGCGGCCUGCUGGACGAUGACUGACGUUGAGGCUCGAAAGCGUGGGGAGCAAACAGGAUUAGAUACCCGAGUAGUC